CGGAUGGGGAAGGUUCUCUCUUGGGAGAUCUGUCUUCUGUGGGGUCUUUCCUGCAACCCUAGAUCUUUGGAUAGAGUUUGCUCCACUAUAGGCUUGUGCUGGGUUGCUCUUCAGCUUACUUUUCUGCUUCAUGAGCUACAUCCUUGGGCUGUGUGUAGACAUGGAAUGGAAGUGUCUGAAGGCUCAAGAUGGAUAGUGCAGGAGGCUGCAUAGUACAUAAGACAUUCAUGCAAUUUCUAACUUGGCCACUGAAGUGAUAGAAACCUUUACAUUGGACUCAGUUAUUUUUUGGCUCAUGUGUUCCUGUAACAAGCAGGACUGAACAGGACAGAAGCCUUCUUGGGAGAAUAUCAAGAAGCAGGCCCUGCUGAGCUGCCUCAAACCUACAGGCAGAGAAAGGGACAGCUGAAGUUGCUCAGGGACAUCCUGGAGUGUUGAGCUGAGGAUAGCGUUCAACCUGACAAAAGCCAAGGCAGCUCUUUCAGGAGGACCCACAGACAUUUGGUCUGCAUAUCAAUGGAAGAAUGUCAAUGAUUAUCAUCCUCUUAAAAGACGGGAAGAGAGCUGUGCAGGCACUGAAGCAAACAGAAGAAAAGUGGGCAAUAUGGUAACAUUAAACUGAAUUUUAUAACAAGAUCAAAUGGCUGACUAACAUAAGAAUCACAGAAUCGUAGAAUUAUAGGGUUGGAAGUGAACUCUAGAGAUUGAGUCCAACCCCCUUGUAAAGCAGGUUCCCUACAGAAGGUUGCACAGACAGCAUCUGGAUCAUCUGGAUAGGUCUUGAAUAUCUCUAGUGAAGGAGGCUCCACAACCACUCUAAGAAAUCUGUUCCAGUGGUCUGUCACUCUAACAGGAAAGAUCUUCUUGCAUUAGUAUGGAACUUCAUAUGUUCCAGUUUCUACCUCUUGCUCCUUGUUCUAUUGUUGCACAACAUCGAAAAGAGUCCACCCCCAUCAACUUGAUUCCUGCACUUUAGGUGUUUACAAACAGUUACGAGAUCCCCUCUUAGCCUUACCUUCUCCAAACUGAGGAAUUCUAUGUCUCUCAGCUUUUCCUUCUACAGGAGGUAGUCCAGGCUCCUAAUCAUCUUUGUGGACUCUUUCUAGAAGAUUUUUGAACUGAGGAGCCCACAGCUGGACACAAUAUUCCAGAUGUGUCCUCACCCAGGACAUGAGUUUGAAAGCCAUGUUAUUAAUUGCAAUUACCUCCUUAAAAGUGUCUUGAAAAGAUACUAUCACAAAUUGUUUCCUCUUGCUAUUUUCCAGAGAGAACAUAGAACCAAGCCAUAAAGAGUAGUUGAGAAUGCCUGUAUUAAGCAUUCACCAAACUGAUUUUAUAGUACAUAUUAUUGAUAUAAUCCAUAAGUCUUCCUUCUUCGUAGUUAAGUGGACAAAGAGCACUUAUCUUUUUGAAAUGUUAGAAAUGUUAAAUUACAUGUAAUAUGGUUUAAGAAUAGCUAAUCCCUGUUGAAAUAUUAACUGUUAAAAUCUCAUGUGGAAUGAUUCUUACUUUAUGAAUUCAGACUGAGUGAUGUAUAACUUAUCUAGAGGAAUGCAAAUGAAUACUGUCUAUUAAACUGGAGAAUCAUAAUAUAUAAACUGCAAUAAAAUGAAUUAAUGUAAAAAUCAUUCUAUUGAGUAGCGCAAACAUAUUUAUUCCUCAUCUUAGAAAGAGAU